rnacentral:lncRNA from 1 species
CUCACCAGCCAGCACCGGAGGUGGCAGCUCCGGCUUCGGGAGUUCGGGUUGGGGCAGGGGCUGUGGUGGCACCGGCAAUGGCUCCGGCUUCGGCAGGGGUUGUGGUGGCACCGGCAAUGGCUCGGGCUUGGGCAGAGGUUGUGGUGGUACAGGAAGCGGCUCAGGCUUGGGCAGGGGUUGCGGUGGCACCGGCAGUGGCUCCGGCUUCGGCAGGGGCUGUGGUGGCAUCGGCAACGGCUCCGGCUUCGGCAGGGGCUGCGGUGGCAGUGGCAGUGGCUCAGGUUUGGGCAGAGGCUGUGGUGGCACCGGCAGGGGCUCCGGCUUCGGCAGGGGUUGUGGUGGCACCGGCAGUGGCUCGGGUUUAGGUAGGGGCUGCGGUGGCACCGGCAACGGUUCUGGCUUCGGCAGGGGCUGCGGUGGCACCGGCAGUGGCUCCGGCUUCGGCAGGGGCUGUGGUGGCACCGGCAGCGGCUCGGGUUUAGGUAGGGGCUGCGGUGGCACCGGCAGUGGCUCCGGCUUCGGCAGGGGCUGCGGUGGCACCGGCAGCGGCUCGG